UGAUAAGCACAUUUCUUAUAUACUAUUUGGGCACACAAAUUCACCUUUUAUUGAGAUAUAUCCAUCCAUUCUUGCUAUGACUUGUUGAAUAUUCGAAUGAUAAUCAUAAAAGAGAAUGUUGACUAGUGAAUUGUUUAUUUUGCAGAAAAGUGCGCAAAGGCACUAUAAUCGUCAAUACUUCUACUAUGUGGCUAACGAGAAGAGAGAAGGACAUGAAAGAAAUACGUCAAGGCUUGAGCGUGAAGGAAAGAAGUAAUGUACGGGAGCAAACUAAAAGAAGAGGAGGAUCUUCUUGGGAAGAAAGAAGAAAGGAGGAGGGCCAAAGUAAAAAAAAAAGACAGAACAGAGGAGGGGAUCAAAAAUCCCUAGCGCAGCCGAUCCCCAUCGGGCCUGGCUCAUCUCUCUCUCUCCCUCACCCAUCCUUCUCCACCUCCGGCCGCCGCCACGGCCAGGCCGGCAUGGUGGUGCGCCUCCCACCUCAUCACCCAUCUCCAUCCACCACUCCACCAUCACCUCCAUCCAUCAGCGCUGUGCCACCCAGCACCUCCACCACGCACCACCAGCACCACUCCACAUCCACCUCACGCAACUCACCAGACAGAGGGCCGGCGGUGUCUGAUCCAUCGCGCGCCGAUGCUGGUGCCUCCUUCUUCAACCUGCUGCUUCUUCUUCCUCACCUCCGCUGCUGCUGUCCCUGCUCUUCUUGCGCUCAUGUUGCUGCUCCUCUGAACCCCUCGUACUUCUGCUCCUAAUCUUCUCCAACUUGCUGCUGCUCUGCUUACUCUAUCUCCUUGCACCGCUGCUGCUGCUUCUCCCGCGCGCCCCAACCUGCUGCUGCUCUUCCCCCACGAAUCUGCUACAACUCCACUCUCCAGCGCCUCCUUUGCUGAUUCUUUGCUCUGAACCUCAAGUUGCUACUGCUUCUUCUUCUCACGUCACGGCUGCUGCUCUUCUUUUCUUUCCCCUACUGUUGCUCCUUCUCUGAACCUCACGCGCUGCUCCAUCUCCUAAACGCUGCUGCUUCUUCCUUGGCCUCCUGCUCUGCUCCUAAUCUGAACCAUAAAUUGCUGCUACUCCCCUUCAUUCUCUAAAUUUCUGUAGACUUGAGAUCAUAUGUAAUAUUCAUAUUUGGCUAGUGCUUGAAACUUGCUAUUGGUUCAGAUUUGUAACUGUAUAAUAAUGCUAUGACAUGUUCAGUUUCAGACUGGUGAUUGUUUAGUACUGUAGUACUGUUUUUGUUCAUCGGAGAGUAUUAGAACAGUGCCCUAUAAUACCAUAUUCAUAUUUGUGUGUGUGUGUGUGUGUGUGUGAAAUAUAUUAAUUAUGUACUGCACUUGCUACUGAUUAGUGUCCACUUUACUGUAGACUGUUGCUCAAGUUCCUAUGAUAUAUAUCAUGUUUGACAGUUUAGUCCUCUAGUUAUUGUUGCACUGAUUUAUGUCAAGAAGAUUUGGCUAGUGUGAUGUGAGUCCAGUACAUGUGCUUUAUAAUCCUGUUUGUAACCGGUGUUCAUUUUGUAGUCCCAGUGAUAUAUCUUGUACCUUGUGCUAGCUAUGAACCUGUGAUAUAUAUAUGUGUGUGUUAUGUUCAUGUCCUUUUACUUCUCUUGUCAUUGAUGAUAGCUUUUGUUAGUAUCUUAAUUUCUCAAGCAUUACGAAAAUACCAAAAAGAUUGUUGAAGAUAAUUUGAACCUUCCUUGCUACUGUGUUAUUUUCUUUAUUGUCAACUUUGGUUAGUUUAGGUCUAUAUUUCCUUGCAAUCAUCAUCUAAAUUCUAUUACCUAGCUUUAGCCGAGUAUAGUUGACGUCGCCUAGUCCCUGAGGAGAACACAACACUCACAGUUUGGGCGUAAAAACCCCACUGCACCUACUAUGAUCAUUUUGGCGCCGUUGCCGGGGAGUAGCGUCGAGAGAUUUUGUUAGGCCAUAGACUAGGUUUUUCUUGUUUUUCCCUUUGUGCUAUAUAUUUGUGAUAUAUCUCUAGCCACUAACACCUGUUUUAGUUAGUAUCUUUUUGUCUUCUUUUCCUUUUUGCAGUUGGAUUAUCCUCUCGGUUAUGGCUUACUAUUCAGAUCAUCAGGCUUACGCGAGCAACACUACAAACAGCACGGAAAGUGUUCAAGAACUGAUAGGUAAGAUUUCCCAUCGAUUAGAUGAUUUAGCUCGGCAGCGAGAAGGAGUUUUUGAGGAUAGGCCUAGUUCGUACGAUCCUUAUUCCAGAGGCCAUCCUUAUGUUGCUCCUACUUGCCAUAUUUGUGGAUUUCAGGGCCAUUCGCCCGCUGAAUGUCAGCGUGGCUACUCUCACACUCCGGAUUGUUUUGGCAUGAGCUUCACUCAAGAGCAUAGCUCAUACCAAAACAAUUACUCACAUGGGUGGCCUGAAAUCCCGAAUAUGUCAUAUAGGAGCAACAACACUGAGAUCUCACAGUUUGGUUCUAGUAAUCAUAUGCAGGGAUUCAAGUACAAUGAGGAGAACCACAACUAUGCUCCACAACAGAUUUAUUCACCUCCUACUCAUAUACCUCAAUACCAGGAGAUGUGUCCAAUGGAGUUAAAUGGUCCUCCAUUUCGUCAACCAACAACUCCAGCACCUUUCGAGCAAAGAUGAGUUUGAUGACAUAGACAAGCUCACACUUUUGAGUCUCGAGUUCACUUGGAGUGCCGAGGAUGAUCCUAUUAGGAAGGUUAUACUAGAGGAAAUGAAGAAGAUUAAGAGUGGAAAGGAGCUAGUGGAAGAAGUAAGGAAGAUUGAGAAGAACAUCAAUGCUGGCAGCACUAUUUCUUCACAACUUGAGUUGAGUGUGGCUGAGAUAUCCAUGGAUACAUGUGAGGUUCCAACACCUUCACAUUUCGUUGAGCAAGUUAGCAAGUGCCUUGAGCAAGAGAUACCUCAGAUUGAAGAAGAUGAACUAGAAGACAAGGAACAAGAUGGUCAAGAGCUGCAAUUCCCAAGUGAUCAAGUUGAAGACUCAUCAUCUAUUACUCCUGAAGAAGUACAAGAAGCUGCUGUAGAUGAAGAUGAAGAACAUGAGAUUCAUUUGCCUAUUGUCAUACCAGAGUGUGAUGUGUCAGGUUUACUCAAUCCUCUUGAUGACAUGAUGCCUUGUGAUUUCUUUGCUACCACCUUGCAUUACAUGAUACCAUCACUUAAGAUUGAUUUGAAAACUCAUUUGCUUGGAUAUGAUGAUAUAUACCGUGUUAGUGGAAUUGCUCUCAUUUGUGAUGAUCACAAUUACUUUCCUCAUGCUAGUCUUGAGCUUAAUGAUAAAUGUCAUCCUCGUGUGAGUAUUGACCAUGCUGAUUUCUGCCAUCCUAAACAUGUGCUUUAUAGUUAUGCUUAUAUAAUUGGAUAUUCCAUUGAUGACUUGGAGGGCAUCGACCGUAUCACUUGUAGUUGUUUGUGUGAGUCCUAUUUCAGGCUUUUGCUACUACACUGUUUACUACAUGCUGACCAGGUUCGAGGUGACAUUCCUUGGGAUCCUGGUGGAGUCAGAGCAUGGCGAUGAGGGGAGCACAAACAGGGAACACAAACAGAGAAGAGUGGAGAGAAGAAAGUAGGAGAGAAGAGUAUACAAAUACCAGGUGAUUCUGUUCCACUUGAAGCAACCUUUAGAAAAUUUAGUACGAGAACUGGCAUUUUAUUGCAUUGAAACACUUUUUGCAUUGUGACACCUUACUCUUCACUGCAAAGUAGGAUUCACUCCAAGAAGAUUGUUGAUUCUCUUAAUACUAAAACUAUGCAGCUGUAUUCUUCUUAUGGUAAUUUGUGAUAAUGAAUACUUUAUACCUCCAUGUAAAUGUUCAAUGGGAAUGCGUUGAGUCUAAGUGAAACCUACUAAUGAAUUGAUGUGCUGUGUCUGACUGUCCGAAGUUAAGCUAAGUAACUGGUGGCACUUAAGUAGUAGCUAUGAUCUCUGGAUCUGUAGUAUGUGAAAAACAGUGCCAUUAGCUAUGGAUUCCUCUUUCAAUUAUUCCUAUUUUACUUAAGCUAAGUAAUUUUCAAAUAACUAUAUAAAAUAAUUAUAAUAAUUUAAGUCCGAUCGACCUAUAGUAGCAUGUCAUGUUCCCUGGAUCGGUGGCUUGUGAAAUCUGGUAGAUUGGACUGUAAAAAAAUUUAUAUAAAAAAUGCUAUAAUUUGUCGAACCAGGUGUAUACCAUGUUCUCGGGAUCGGUGGUAUGUUCCUUAGGGGAGAUAAUAACAAAAAAAUAUGCUAAUAAUUUGUCGAACCAGGUGUAUACCAUGUUCUCGGGAUCAGUCGUAUGUUCCUUUGGGGAGAUAACAAAAAAAAUAUACUAAUAAUUUGGUCGAGCCAGGUGUAUACCAUGUUCUCGGGAUCGGUGGUAUGUUCCUUUGGUGAGACUGAUAUAAUAUCAUCACUUGUGCUUUAAAUUCAAUAAGUAACUUGUUUUUCUAAUUGAUUUUGGGGUCCCAGCUUAUCUCAGGGCUGAAGACAGAGCCAGCUCUUGAUUAUUAGUAUUCACUUUGACUCAAGGCCAUUGACUUGGAACAUUUACAGUGUGUUAUAAAAUAUUUCUUAUCACAAUUUAGCUUUAGUAGAGUACAUUUGCUUAGUUCCAGUAUUGUCGGAAUUACUAUCUAUCGGAAAGUGCAUCUUUACUAGGCAGUGUGAGUUGUGUCACCAUCAAUUUUUUUUCCUUUGCUUGAGGACAAGCAAAGAUUUAAGUGUGGGGGAACUUGAUAAGCACAUUUCUUAUAUACUAUUUGGGCACACAAAUUCACCUUUUAUUGAGAUAUAUCCAUCCAUUCUUGCUAUGACUUGUUGAAUAUUCGAAUGAUAAUCAUAAAAGAGAAUGUUGACUAGUGAAUUGUUUAUUUUGCAGAAGAGUGCGCAAAGGCACUAUAAUCGUCAAGACUUCUACUAUGUGGCUAACGAGAAGAGAGAAGGGCAUGAAAGAAAUACGUCAAGGCUUGAGCGUGAAGGAAAGAAGUAAUGUAGGGGAGCAAACUAAAAGAAGAGGAGGAUCUUCUUGGGAAGAGAGAAGAAAGGAGGAGGGCCAAAGUAAAAAAAAGACACAACAGAGGAGGGGAUCAAAAAUCCCUAGCGCAGCCGAUCCCCAUCGGGCCUGGCUCAUCUCUCUCUCUCCCUCACCCCUCCUUCUCCACCUCCGGCCGCCACCACGGCCAGGCCGGCGUGUUGGUGCGCCUCCCACCUCAUCACCCAUCUCCAUCCACCACUCCACCAUCACCUCCAUCCAUCAGCGCCGUGCCACCCAGCACCUCCACCAUGCACCACCAGCACCACUCCAGAUCCACCUCACGCAACUCACCAGACAGAGGGUCGGCGGUGUCUGAUCCAUCGCGCGCCCGAUGCUGGUGCCUCCUUCUUCAACCUGCUGCUUCUUCUUCCUCACCUCCGCUGCUGUUGCUCCUGCUCUUCUUGCGCUCAUGUUGCUGCUCCUCUGAACCCCUCGUACUGCUGCUCCUAAUCUUCUCCAACUUGCUGCUGCUCUGCUUACUCUAUCUCCUUGCACCGCUGCUGCUGCUUCUCCCGCGCGCCCCAACCUGCUGCUGCUCUUCCCCCACGAAUCUGCUACAGCUCCACUCUCUAGGGCCUCCUUUGCUGAUUCUUUGCUCUGAACCUCAAGUUGCUACUGCUUCUUCUUCUCACGUCACUGCUACUGCUCUUCUUUUCUUUCCCCUACUGUUGCUCCUUCUCUGAACCUCACGAUGCUGCUCCAUCUCCUAAACGCUGCUGCUUCUUCCUUGGCCUCCUGCUCUGCUCCUAAUCUGAACCAUAAAUUGCUGCUACUCCCCUUCAUUCUCUAAAUUUCUGUAGACUUGAGAUCAUAUGUAAUAUUCAUAUUUGGCUAGUGCUUGAAACUUGCUAUUGGUUCAGAUUUGUAACUGUAUAAUAAUGCUAUGACAUGUUCAGUUUUAGACUGGUGAUUGUUUAGUACUGUAGUACUGUUUUUGUUCAUCGGAGAGUAUUAGAACAGUGCCCUGUAAUACCAUGUUCUUAUUUGUGUGUGUGUGUGUGUGUGAAAUAUAUUAAUUAUGUACUGCACUUGCUACUGAUUAGUGUCCAGUUUACUGUAGACUGUUGCUCAAGUUCCUGUGAUAUAUAUCAUGUUUGACAGUUUAGUCUUCUAGUUAUUGUUGCACUGAUUUAUGUCAAGAAGAUUUGGCUAGUGUGAUGUGAGUCCAGUACAUGUGCUUUAUAAUCCUGUUUGUAACCGGUGUUCAUUUUGUAGUCCCAGUGAUAUAUCUUGUACCUUGUGCUAGCUAUGAACCUGUGAUAUAUAUGUGUGUGUUAUGUUCAUGUCCUUUUACUUCUCUUGUCAUUGAUGAUAGCUUUUGUUAGUAUCUUAAUUUCUCAAGCAUUACGAAAAUACCAAAAAGAUUGUUGAAGAUAAUUUGAACCUUCCUU
rnacentral:lncRNA from 1 species